CUCAUUGUCUAAUUGAGAAUAGAUUGUAAAUUUAGAUUUGAAGGGAAGCUUUAGAUUAGCAGUAACCAUUAUUACUGUUCGGUGACCGAUGAAUCAAAAUUUAUGACUUAGUAUUUUGGCAUUUCAGCGUUGUCCGAUGAAUUAAUCGCAGCCGAAAAGGAGACGAAAAAGUUAACAAUGAUCGGAGCUCCGGUGAGUUGGCAUUUCAAUAUUUUUUUAGCAUUGUUUCUUUAGAAAUCUUUGUUGUUUUAGAACUAAGCUUGAAUUUAUGGAUUUUAAGGUUAAUGUAUACUUCUAAUUGACGAUUUUGAGGUAAGAUUGGUGUUUUUCGCUUACUAAAAGUUUAUUUGAACAAAUUUUGGGAGUAGUUUAUGUUUUAAUGAUAAUUUUAGAUAUUCUGAAGAUAUAGGAGUACUUUUAGUUUCACAACCCUAUUGUAAUAGCUUGUUUGGCAUUUUUCGCCCAUUGAAAGUUAAUUUGAACAAUUUAGGAGUAAAUACGACUGAUCAAUUUAUGUUAUUAGUGUUAAAUUUUUGAUAUUUGUUGUGAUAUAGGAGUAGUACAAUUAUUUGCAAUUAUCCUUGUAAAAUACUCCCUCUAUUACCAACCUUCUUGGCAUUUUUCGCAUACUGAAAAUGAAUUUGAACAAUUUUUAGAGCAACUUCGGCUGGAGUGAUAUAUGUUUUUAGAGGUCGUUUAGUUGGGAAUGGGAUAGAAAAAAUUAUCCCAUGGAUUGGGAUAUCCCAUGGGAUAACUUGUCACAUCAUUAUAAUAUAAAUGAUGGGAUAAUUAAUCUUGGGACUAGCUAAUACUUCUAACAAAACAUAGAAUAAAAUAACCCUACAUCGUAUUUCGGGAUUUUUAUCUUUUGGACCCCUUUUGAUUUUUUUCUUGACUGUUUGUUCUUUCCUCCCUCUAUACUUAUUUAUGUUGUGUUUGAUGGAUGUUUCAUAGAUUCGUUGUCCUUGUUGUUGGUAAUGGUAAUUUUCUUAUAGGAUAGUUGUACUUGGAUUGAGUUAAGUUUUACCAGUUGUAUGGGUUGAGUUUUACACUUUUAGCCAUGCCAAAGUCUGAUAUCUUUAUCUAGCAAAAUAUUGCUUGCUUUAUGGUCUCUAUGGAUAAUUCGUAGUUGAGAGUCUUGAUGAAGAUAUGAUAACCUGUGAGCGAUUCCAUUAAUGAUGUCAAACCACUUUGGCCAAUCAAGUAAUUUACUCUUUGUUUUAUCUAUAAAGUAAGUUUUCUUAUUAGUAGCUUCAUUAAUGUUUUGAAUAAUAGAUCAUAGUAUCAAAUCAUCUUAGCUUCUGUAAUAGGUCAGAUAUCAAAACCAAAUAUGUAUAAAUCCAGGCUUUUGUUAGGCAUGUAUUCAUAGAUCAACAUCUUUUCUUCUCCUUGGAUGCAGCAACCCAAAAGUCUCAUAGGAUUUUGGUGUUGAAGCUUGGAAAUAUAGAUAACUUUGUUCUUGUAUUCAUCAAGUCCCUGCAUGGAAGUCCUUGACAACCUCUUUAUUGCAAUUUCUUGUCCCUCUUCCAGCACUCCCUAGAAAUAGAAAAUGUAUUAUAUUAGAACAUAGGUUUUACAAAGACGAGAAUAUUGCAGAUCGAAAAUAAUCUCUAAUACUCUGAUCUUGAGCAUAAACUAGUUACCCUUCCAACAAAUUUACAUUGUAUACCUUGAAAAUAGGUCCAACUCCACCCUCUCCAAUCUUCUGAUUGAAUAAAAAGUUUUUUGUGGAUCUUUCUAUUGUUGAAAAUAGUAACAGUGGAAACUCUAUAUCGUCUCUGAAUUUCAGUUUCUUUUUUUUCCAUCUUUACCACAACCAAAUCAGGAUCAACAGAAUUGUUUCCGUGAAUAAUGAGAAACUAACUGUGAGUAUCUUUUCCUUUUUUCUUAUUGAACCUACCUCAGAUUCUACAGUCAAUUUUUUUGAGUUAGCCACUGUAAAUAAAGACACACCUCUAACUUUUCAUAGUACCAUCUUGUCUGGUGAAAACUAAGUUAAGAAAUUCUUCAGGUGAAAUUUCAUAAACAAGUUCUUAACUUGCUCUGAAGGAUCCAUCUUGAUGAAAAUAUCUAUUCCUCUUUCGGGAAGUUUUCUGAUGUCAAUUAAUUCCCCAUACCAUAAUAAGCAACCUUGAUCUCCAUAGCUUAUAUCUAGACUUGAAUAAGCUGUGCAAGAGCAAUUCCUGGAGCAUACUUUUCUACACUCUUUGAGUGUCAUUGUUUUAUUGUACUGAGAGUCCUUAGUAUUUGGCAACUUGAUUUUAGAAUAUCUUAGAAAUACAUGUUCCCUAUAGCAAUCUAAGGGUGUCCUCCGAACACACCCUUCUAUCCAAUUACCCUUUUCCCAUAUUGUAGAUAUUUAUCUACAAACUUCUCCAAACAUGCACAAAUAGGUUCAUUAUAUUUGUUAUAUCUCCCAUACAUACCACACAAAUAUGUAUCACAAUUGACUGCAGGUAACUUAUAGUGAACCGUCCAUUUCUUUAUUUGAGCCACCCACAUGAAGCAUUGUAUAUCACCAUCAUCGAAAGGUAAGCCUCAUGGAUAGUUUUAAACUUCUUGCUAAGCUUCAUAUCAGGAAAAUGUGUAUCAGUAGAAAAAUGGAAGCUCUGCCAGAGGAGAGCAAGUAUUCUUGCCGCAUUUACCUUUAGUUGUACAUGAUAGGGGUGUGAUAAGUUUGUUUUAUCUCUAUUGAAAAUAGGGGUUUUGGGAGUUUUGAGAGAAUUAUGCAUUACUCUAGGGUGUGAUAAGUUAUUUUUAUAUCUAUUGGGAAUAAUGUAUUUAAAUGAAACCUUUUUAGGUUGCGCGAUCCCAGUUUCAGGUAACUGCUUUCCAUAUUACUACCUUACGUGACACUUGAUAGAACUCCAGUAUACAAUCAUCUAGUGGUGAUUUUAAUUUUCUACAGAUAUAGUUAAUGGUCUAUCUUCUCUUUGAACAACAAUGACCAAGAACAACUGGAGUUUCGAGAUACAUGGAUAAGUAGUAAGCAGUAAAACCAAUUAUUUUACGUCUUCCCAUUUGAAAAAGAGUUUUUUUUUUGGUAUUAUCAGUCAUAACUAAAAUUAGGCUUCUUUAAAUUGAGGUAGGUUUAGGUUUAUUAUGUGAGGUGUUUUUCUAUUCCCAUUAAAUCAACAUCCACAACUAUUGUAAUACCCCAUAUUUCCCUAGCCAAGAUUAACCCUCAAUACAUGGGUUAUCCUAAAUAAUUUUUUUAGAUUACUCAAUAAUUUUUAGAUUAGAACCUGUUAUUACGUUGGAAAUUCAAUUAGGUUUCCAACGAUAUACAAUUUUCCUAAAUCCGACAACCGAGUAAGAAUUUAUAGCGAUUUUAAGUUUCAGUCAUUAAACAUCGUCAUUCAGGCCAGUAGCGCAUCGCGGAGUGUGUCAAUAUAGAAAUUGUCAAUUUCUAGUGUUUCUCCGUGAUAUUGGCACGUUGCGCCGUAGACCCAGUUCACAACUAUCAAUUUCCAGUGUACCAACGCAAUUCCACCGAGUUGUGAUGCACUUCUAGUUCACAAACAAAGUGGUAAUGCGAUACCACCGCGUCGCGCAACCAUGCAAUUUCCCAGUUGUCAUUUUCCAGUGACACAAUGUGAUAGUGCUGUGUCGUGCUAAGGGUCCAAAUUGAGAAAAUUUCACAAAUAAUUAAAGUUGCACCCGGGGUUAAAUCAGUCUUUUCCUAUGAUUUUAUUCUGCCCAGAUGUGAGAUUUAAGCCCUAAAAUCAUUUAAACCCUUUAUUAUUCACUUUCCCCUAAAAUCAAAAGGUAUUUCUCUCUCAAGAAAACAAACCCUAGCUCUCAAGAAUCAAGGUCAAUUCGAAGAAUCUCUCCAAGAACUCCAAGAAUCUCAUGAAUUAAGGUAUGUUAGAUGUUCAUCCAUGGAUCCUUACCUUCCAUGGAGCCUAAGAAUCCUUUUUCCAAAAUAUAAGAUUUAUGAUUUAUGAUUUCCAUUUAUGAAUUAUCUUGAAUUUAUGUUCAUGGUGUUUUUUGAGUUUUAAUCUAUGAUUUAGAUUACAAAUUCCAAGAAUUGAUUCUAGUAUGUGUUGAAUUUCAUGAUAUUCAUGAUAAACCCUUCAAUUUGCAAGUUGAUUGUUGUAACCAUGUUAACUCUAAGUGUUUAUAACUUAAUGAACCAAGUAUGCUUCUUAUGUGUUUGAUAAAUUGUCUAUGAGAAUGAAAUAAUGCCAUUAUAGCAUGCUAACAUAUAUUCCCCAUCCAUGUACAAGUUAAUGCAUUACAAGUGUUUGAUGGAAUGUCUCUGUGAAUGAAUUAUGCCCAAGUGAACAUUGUUAUGUUAUUCAAGAUAAUGCUUUGCUUUACUUUUCAUGUUAUCGAGUCCUAGGGGUAUUUAAUACCCGAUAAUUUAGCUGUUUACCUAGAGCUAGUGGCAAUGACAUAAUAGUAUCUAUCAUGUCAUGAUUAGUAGUACUCUCAGUCAGUAGAAUUCAGGCAGUUAUAAAACUUCGAAAAACUCAGUAAUCUCAGUAUCAAUCCAGUCCUAUUCAGUAUACUCAAUUCAGUGUCUUUUAGUUAGGAGUAGGAACUAGUACCAAGCGAGGGUGGAAGUGAAGACUUCUCUCGUCAGGAAGAUUGAGUCAUUAGUAGUAGUCUCACACUACAGAACUACAUAGCCAGCGUAGGAUGAGAGGAGUCACCCAUUAGAUUAAGGCUUGGCUACCUCUUAGGGGUCAUCCUUCAAAUUAGGCUUGACUUUCUGUUCAGGGUCACCCAUUAGAUAGGCUUGACCAUAAUAAUGUGUUUACCCGUGGCAUGGUACUAGCACCCUUCCAAAUAGGGUUUACUUAGGGGAAUGUCGGUUAAGUGAGAACUUCCACAAUUUCAGUUCCAAUCUCAGUCUUCAAAAUAGAACUCAGUUCAAUUCUACAGAAUCAGAACUGUUAGAUAUAAUCUCUCAGUUAUCAGUAAAUCAGAUUUUUAGUGAUCUCAAAUUAUCAGUAUAUUUAGUUAUCAAUUAUUAGAUUCAGUUCUAGUAUACUCAGUUACAGUAUGCACAGUAUGUUCAGUAGUUACAUAUCCUCCAUGUCUGCUAAUCGAUAUCUUGCAUAUCAUUUAGUUAGUUAUUGUUCAUGUAUAUGAACCCAUGUAUUUUGCCUUAUCUCAUUUAGCAUACCAGUACAUUCCUACGUAUUGAUUGCAUACUCGUUUCUUACACUAUGAUGUUUCAUAUCAUAGGAUCAAACGCUCUGGUUCUUGAUCGUGCUUAGCCUGAUUCACCCAGCAGUAGCAAAUUUAGCAGUGAGUCCUCAUAUAUCAAGAUAUGCUUUUAUUUUAGUACUUCAGCUUAGCAGUAUUUUAGUAGAUGGAUUUAGUUAGGGGAUCAUCCCAUCAACUCCACUUUCAGACAGUUUCAGUUAGAGGCUUUUCAAACUAGAUUUUUAGACUGUAUUUCAGAUUUAGAUGUUAUUAUUCAUUAUCAGUAGUUUAGAUAUUUUGAACCUCAUGGCAUUUCAGCCUAUUAUUCCCUAAUUAUUUUAGUAUUAUUAUUCAGUGCUCACAAUAGAUAUCAUUCAUGGGUUAGCUUGUGAUCCUUCGGGGAUACAAGCACCGUGUGAUGACUAGGGUGUAGUCUCGGGUCGUUAUAAACUUGGUAUCAGAACCUAAGGUUCAAUAGUGUCCAACGGAUUCCAAAAAGCUAUAUCACGUAGAGUCUUGUGCAUGGGUGUGUAGCGCGUCACACUUUUGGAUAGGAGGCUAUGAGAUGUUUUAGGAAAAGUUUUCCUACUUUCAGUAUUUAUGUUGUGCAAGUGAGCAUGAGCUCAAGUUAAUCUCUCAGUCUAAUCCACUUUUUCCUUUUGUUUAUAGAACAUGCCUCCCAAAAGGACUAACGAAAGAAGAAACAGAAACUAGUCAGCCCAUUCAGGUAGAUCCCCUGGACGAACAUGUCUCUUACGCAGAAUUUAGAGCUGCAUUUACUAAUCUAGCCAAUUUAGUCAUAUCCCAGAAUAAACGGCCAGCUGCUAUUUUAGCCAACCCACUAGAAAGUACUGUUGCAACCAGGAUUCAGUUCUUUACCUAAAUAAAUCCUCCUUCCUUUACAGGAUCUAAGUUAGAAGAGGAUCCAUAAGAGUUCCUCAAUCAGGUUUAGAAGAUGUAGCCCAUACGUGGUUUAAGUAGUAGAAGGUAGACAUGGGUACAGAUGCAGGGCCCAUAGAGUGGGAAAGGUUUGCUACUGCCUUCCUCAAUAGAUUCUUUCCCUUAGAGGUGAGAGAAGCCAAAGUAUUAGAGUUCAUUAAUCUCAAGCAAGGUAGUAUGAGUGAAAAAAUGUAUUCCCUCAAGUUUACUUAGUUAGCCAAGUAUGCUCCCCAUGUAGUAGCAGAUAAGGUCCAGAAUGAGUACUUUUGUAUCUGGGGUGUCAUAUCGUGUUGUUAAGGAAUGCAGAACAUCGAUGUUGAUUAAAGAGAUAGAAAUAUCUAGGCUUAUGGUCCAUGCUCAACUGAUUGAAGAGCAGAAACUUAAGAAUAAGGAGAGGAAAAACAAGAGGGCAAGAACAGGUAGCUUUAAUUUCAAUCAGCCUAAGUCAUAUGGGGGUAACCAUUCUCAGUUUCAUCCAAAGUCUUCAGUUCCAGCUCCAUUCUCAGCCAGUGUACCGAUGACCCAAGAUAGCUUAAGAAAUGGUUGUACUAAUCCAUUUUGCGGAGAGUAUGGUAAAACCAUCAGGGAAAGUGUAAGGCUGGAAGUAAUGUUUGUUAUGGCUGUGGGAAACUGGGUCAUACGCUCAGGGAGUAUCGAGUAGCUACUCAUAGAGGUAGGCAUAUGACCUUUCAAGGUCAGUCUCAUCAGUCACCAGUUCAGUCCAGUCGCCCAAAUCAGUAGGGCUCCUCUUCCAGUGCCACCCACGGUCAGCGUCUAAAUAUAUUUUAUGCACUUCAAUCCCGAUAGGAUCAGGAAAGUCCUCUUGAUGUGGUAACUGGUAAGUUACAAACCUCCCACUUAUAUGUUUAUGCCUUAUUAGAUCCAUGAGCUUCUCUAUCUUUUGUAAUUUCUUACAUAGCAGUCUAUACCAAGGUUAAACCCUGAAACAGUAGUAGGGUUAUUGAUUUAGUGACCUACAGACAUAGAACGACGACUUUAAGCUAAGGAGGAGAUGGUAGUAUAGUACAUGGUAGCAGACCAUGCAUGCUUACAGUUCCUAGUAUAAGGAGUUUCAGUUCACUUUGUAGUAUGAAUCAGGUUCCACAAGUUCAGAAAUUCCAAACUCAGGUUAUGCAUUUCAUGAUACACAUAUUCAUAUUUCCCAGUAUGCUCAAUUCUCAUGACUCAUGUUACACUCUAAAUGGUUUGUGAAGUUCAGUUUAUGCCAUAUGUUCCUCAGGCCUCAGUAGUGUGUAGAAGUUAUUCAGUCGUCCUUUAGUUAGAUAUUGUAUCGUAUAUCAUCACAGUCUUCCUUAAACCUACUCAGACCCAUAUUCAGUACCAUUACAAACUUGGUAUCAGUUACCAUCUCAUAUAAUCCUCAUGUAAGUCAUGUAUUUUAUAAAUAGAUAUUAGCCAUGUAAUCAUGCAUCAGAUAUGCAUGUUCAGUAUGUAAGUUCAGUCUAUCAGACCAGUCAUGUAAUCAUGAUUCACUUGUGUAUGUCUAUUUUAGUAUGUAAACUCAUUAUGUCCGUACUCUCUCAGCUUAACUAUCCAUAUUCGAGGAUGAAUGUUCCCAAAGGGGAGAUAUUGCAAUACCCUAUUUUUCCCUAGCCUAGAUAAACCCUCUGGGUUAUCCUAAAUAAAAUUUUUCGACUACUCAAUAAAUUUUAGAUUAGAUCCUUCCAUUGUGUAGGAAAUUCAAUUAGCUUUCCAACGAUAUAAAAUUUGCAUAAAUCUGACAAUCGAAUAAGAAGUUAUGACAAUUUUAAGUUUCAGUCAUUAAACAUUGUCAUUCAGGCCAGUAGUACGUCGCGGAGUGUGUCAAAAUAGCAAUGGUCAAUUUCUAGUGUUGCUCCGUGAUAUUGGCAUGUCGCGCCAUAGACAUAGUUCACAAUUGUCAAUUUCCAGUGUACCAAUGCGAUUCCACCGCGUCGCGAUGCACUUUCAGUUCACAAACAAAGGGGCAAUGCGAUACCACCUCAUCAUGCCACCAUGCAAUUUCCUAGUUGUCAUUUUCCAGUGACACAACGCGAUAGCGCCGCGUCGCUCCAAGGGUCCAGAUUGGAAAAAUUUCAUAAAAAAAUAAAGUUGCACCGAGGGUUAAAUUAGUCUUUUCCAAUGAUUUUAUUCUGCCCAGAUGUGGGAUUUAAGCCUAAAAAAUAUUUAAACCCUUCAUUAUUCACUUUCCCCCAAAAUCAAAAGGUAUUUCUCUCUCAAGAAAACAAACCCUAGCUCUCAAGAAUCAAGGUCAAUCCGAAGAAUCUCUCCAAGAACUCCAAGAAAAUCUCACGAAUUAAGGUAUGUUAGAUGUUCAUCCAUGUAUCUUUACCUUCCAUGGAGCCCAAUAAUCCUUUUUCCGAAAUACAAGAUUUAUGAUAUAUGAUUUUCAUGUUUGAAUUAGAUUGAAUUCAUGUUCAUGGUGUUGUUGAGUUUUAAUCCAUGAUUUAGAUUACAUGUUCCAAGAAUUGAUUCUAGUAUGUGUUGAAUUACAUGAUAUUCAUGAUAAAACCUUUAAUUUGCAAGUUGAUUAUUGUAACCAUGUUAACUCUAAGUGUUUAUGACUUAAUGAAACAAGUAUGCUUCUUAUUUGUUUGAUAAAUUGUCUAUGAGAAUGAAAUAAUGCCAUUAUAGCAUGCUAACAUGUAUUUCCUAUCUAUGUAAAAGUUAAUGCAUUACAUAUGUUUGAUGAAAUGUCUUGAUGAAUGAAUUAUGCCCAAGUGAACAUUGUUAUGUUAUUCAAGAUGAUGCUUUGCUUUACUAUUUAUGUUAUCAAGUCCUGGGGGUAUUUAAUACCUGAUAAUUUAGUUGUUUACCUAGAGAUAGUGCCAGUAAUAGAAUAGUAUCAGUCAUGUCACGAUCAGUAGUAUUCUUAGUCAGUUAUAGACCUCAGUAGAAUUUAGUCAGUUACAGAACUUAGGAAAACUCAGUAAUCUUAGUAUUAGUCUAGUCCAAUUCAGUAUACUCAGUUCAGUGUAUUUCAGUUGGGAGUAGGAACUAGUACCUAGUGAGUGUGGAGGUGAUGACUUCUCCUUUCAGGUAGACAGAGUCGUUAGUAGCAGUCUCACACUACAGAACUACGUAUCCAGUGUAGGAUGAGAGGUGUCACCCGUCAGAUUAAGGCUUGGCUACCUCCCAGGGUUCACCCAUCAUAUUAGGCUUGACUUUCUGUUCAGGGUCACCCAUCAGAUAGGCUUGUACCAGAGCAGUGUCUUUCCCCAUGGUAUGGUACUAGUACCCUUCUAACUAGGGUUACAGGUUGGACCCCACUUAUCUUACUCAGGGGCAUGUCGGUUAAGUGGGAACUCUUUCAAGUUCAGUUUCAGUCUCAGUCUUUAGAAUAUAACUCUGUUUAGUUCUACAAAAUCAGGACGGUCAGAUACAGUCAUUCAGUUAUCAGUAAUUCAAAUUAUCAGUGAUCUCAGAUUAUCAGUAUAUUCAGUUAUCAGUUAUCAGAUUCAGUUCUAGUAUACUCAGUUACUGUAUGCACAAUAUGUUCAGUAGUUAGAGAUCUUCCAUGUCUGCUAAUCCAGCUCUUGCAUAUAAUUCAGUUAGUUAUUGUUCAUACAUAUGAACCCAUGCAUUUAACCUUACCUCAUUUAGCAUACCAGUACAUUCCUACGUACUGAUCGCAUACCCAUUUCUUAUGCUAUGAUAUUUUAUAUCUUAGGUUCAGACACUCUGGUUCCUGACCGCGGUUAGCCAAAUUCAG
rnacentral:lncRNA from 1 species